UCUAAUAUGUUAUCAUUUAAAAUUUUAAAUAUUGUAAAGUUUGGAAUGUUUUUGCCGGCGGAUAGAAUAUCCGUUCACAAGAGAUGCUUGUCACUUUUGAUGAAAGUUUCUUUGAAUAUCUACACUGAAGAGUUUGAAAUGUUUUCCAACAGCGCGCGAUUAUGCCAGCACUCGAAAGGAGAAGUAGAAAGGGAAGAGACAGCUUUGCGAAGUGGUACUGCUUCGCACGGUACACACCUGCAGCGGUUGCAACGUUAUUGUCGAAUUUUUCUCGUACCAGGGAUAUUUUCACGGAUAGAAUUUGCGAGGCAUUUAAGUUUAUUGCUGCUCCAUCUAAAACCAGUUGUUCAGAAAAAGAAAUCACAACGAUGAUUGUAUAGGAAAUAUGCAUGUUCGUAAAGAUAUUUUAACAGAUAUAUCAUAUAGACGUAAACUUAAAAAAUGUGGUGUACCUAACCUUGAAGUUUCUAUAAGAAAACAAUUAACACGUAUUCGGGUGGUACAUAUUAAAUAUCUUUCCAAAUCAAAUUUUAAUAGCAGAUAGUACUAAAGUAAUUAAGAUAAUUGAUAAUUGACGACAAGACAAUAUUUAGUUUCUGAUAUUUGUCCGCCAAAUUCAAUCAUUUCAUAUACAACCUAAUACAUAUAAUGAAUUAAAUCUACCAAUCCACAUACAUAGUAUACGUGUACGUACAUACAGUAUAAUAUAAUAGAGCGAAAAUAUUAAGGUCAGUAUGAAAGGACUUUAUGCAUAAAUGAUUCAUUAUUUUGAACUUGAAAGAAGCCUAACGGGACGGCACAGGGGCAAAGGAAGUACUGUUCCUUAACGCUCACCGUCAGUUACGUCUUGCCAUAUUGUUUUAUGUGACACUUUCGGUCAAUACACGUGUUUAUCUUUACGUUGCUGUUUUGUGCUGAGUCUACAAAGAAAUAACCAAUCAGACCCACAUUCCUUUGCUUGUCAUCUUUUCAGCUCUCUAUUAUACAUUUCUCAGUCAUAAUGCAGCGUUUGAUUUAUGUAAAAGCCAAUGCGAUGGUCCACGGUUCAACUGCUUUUCCAGCAACGGAUCUGAGAGCUUUGGCUUCGAUCCGAGUCAUUGGCGACAGUCGAGUUACGGUACCCGACAUACCGAUGUGUUCCACCGAGCACAAGCUACUCUCUCGCGUACAUGUUCACAUGCAAAGCGAUUUAUAUCCCAUACCACCUUCUUUCCGACCUAUCUAUCUACGUAAGGUAUACACGAACCACGUCGGACGUAUACGAAGCUUCGCUUGUGAAUUAUUCAACGAGCGUCACCUUGAGCGACGACGUGCAAGCGUAGGCUGCCCUCUGCCUCUGUCUUUUCUUUCCCUUUCGUAUAGACCACGUGCGGACAAAUUCGUGAUGUCUUUUACGAUGACUUAGGUAGUGCGACGCGUCGUGAAGAAUAUGAAUUUCCAACUGCGCCAGUCGGCCAUUGUGCCUGGCUUAUGAACGUGCCUUAAGUUUCGUCUAUUACUGUGCCUUCUCUUAUUCGAAGUUCAGAAAACUUUGAUUUGUCGUUGAUCGAAUAUUUAUGUCAAUAUACAGUUGAGGACAAAAAUAAGUGGAGAGAUAGGUGUCAAUGCAGUUUAAUGGAACUAUUGGGAUAUCAUUACCACCUAAUGACAAAAUCCGCAAUCACUUAGUUGCUAACCUAAUAAUAUCAGUUCUAUAUACUUAAGUUUUAUUUACGUAUUUCUUUUAGUAUAUAGAUUAUUUAACAAAUAACUGAAGUUAAUAUUUACAUUCUUGUGUAAACAAAUCGUAUUUAACAAAACUUCAUUGAUACCUGCUUUCGCUACGUGUCUGCUUAUUUUUGUAUCCGACUGUAUAUAGACGGGAAAUAAGAGUUUCAUACGAAGAGCGACAGUAGAAUAAAAAUGUCGCUGAUUGGUUGAUUACUGACGCCUCAAGCGACGUCAAUCGCACAAGGAUGAUCAUUUUUGGUCGUCCAGGAAUCACGGAACUCUUCUCAAGUAGUUUAUGAAGCAUUAUAAUCCUGUAAUCUUUCAGUAUAUCCCUACUCAACAGUAUAAAAGGAAUCAUGAUACGAAAUGUUACAUAAUUUUUCUCAUGUGCUUUCCAUAGGAAUGAAUCAUAAUCGCGUCUUCACAUUGAAAAUAUGCUGGUUAAGUAAUUAUAAAGUUUAUUGAGUGCUCUAAUUGCAGCAAUAUCGUCAAUGACUCAUUGGUGGUGAAGGGCUAUAAUCAGUUAAAUAACAGGCAAUCAGAUUGAUCAAAUACGUGCAAAUUCCUCCCAAUCACGGCACGUGAACAAUCAAGACCGUAACCAGGCCAAUUGAAAGAUGGAUGCAGAAAGUUUCCAUAUUGGAGAAAGUUCAUGUAAUAUGAAUUAUAAUAAAGUAUGGCUUUUGCUGCGCGGUCACGGAUAGUACGAGAUAUUAAGCGCCAUAAAUCCAUACAUGCAGAAAUUACCGACUGGUCUCGCGGCAACAGUUUUUACCGCUGGUUAAUAAAAUUCAAUUAUUAUCGGGGUAAAAGUUGUUUUAAAGCGCAACGAACGAAGAGCUGAUUAUAUAGGAAAUAUUGUUGCUAUUAUAAUCUUUUUCUCCUUGCUAUAUAUAAUUAACCAAGUUAAGUUAUAAUAAUUUUUUUCUACUUACUCGAUGAGGAUAAGCCAGAUGCCACGUGACGUUAAAGUUACUCCCAGACAGUAAAGUAGUUUUAAUAUCGCCUGCAACAUAAAAUGAGCGCAUUAUGCAACAUUUCGCGCGCUAUUCUAUACAAAUUUUCACGAUCGCUCGUCGCGCGUUAAAUUACGUCGAGAUACGGAAACUUGUAAUUUCUCAGGCUCAUCGAUUUAGACGAGAGACCUUACGAACAAUGAAAAGUUAAUAUUCAUUAGAGUAACGAGACACGAUAAUUCAUUACAAUCACCGGAAACAUGCAUGGAUACAAGUUCAGCGAAAUCUUGCGUGUGAAUAUCCUUAUCCACGCCCAGAUAGAAAAUAAAAAAAAAAGAAACAGAAAAAUCACAUCCUUAUAAGCAUUUUCUAUUUCUUAUUAUUUUAUGGUGUAAUAAAUAUCUAAGUAUGGAUGAAGGACUUUAUAAUACAUUGUUCUUAUUUUUAUUUAUAUACACUCUUUAUAAUUAUUAUUUAUAUAACUCUUUAUAAUACAUUAUUCUUACAUUGUUUCUCCUUUUCAAUAUAUAAUACAAAUUUAACAUAUAAUUCAAGUAUGGUUAAUAUUUUAUGGAUUCGUUUUAUUUAAUUACAGUACGUACUCCAUGUAAGCAAUUUGUUUUCGUAAAUCAUUUUUAUCAUCAAAAGAUUGCAAAAGAUCAAUUAUAAGGCGGGAAAGGAAACUAACAUGAAGGCGAAUAUCCGUUUAUAUCAGUAAUUGUAUCGGUUGUUAUGAAAAUGAAUUUCAACUCAACCAGCGAUUUCACAUUUUCAGUUUGCUUGAAGCUAAGAUGCUAAUCUACGGUAGUAUCGUAUCGUAUCGAGACUGGGUUUCCGGAAAUAAUCGAGAGUGGCACGAUGUACAAUUAAUUUCCGGAAGCGGACGGGCAGCAGCUCGCGUUCCGCGACCGAUCCUUCCUUUUAUGGAGUACUACUUUUUUUCCCUACCUGCCACCGAAAAGAAAGCUCGCGUUCCUCUUGUUGAGAACUAACAGUCAAGUGAUUAAAUUGUGGAACGACAUCGACGCAGCUGUGUCCGAUUUGGUGGGAUAUACAAAAAUUAAUACCCGUGACAGCGUUCACGACACUGUUAUGCGUUUAUAUGUAUUCAUGUAGGAGUUUGGAAGUACUAUCGAUCCGAAUUAGCACAGAUAACUGUUUAGAGAAGAACGAAAUGUUCAAAUUUAUGCAGGAAUAAUUUAUAUGUUGGAUGAUGUAAAAGUAUUGUUAGCAUAUACUGUGAUAUUUGUUUAGACUACGAUGCGUGGGAAAAUUAUGAAAUAACAUACUUACAAACAAUAGUGCUUUGCUAUCUGACCACAUAUCAAUGAAGUAUAUUUCUAAGAAAUCCUAAAUACGUAUCUCUUUCCUCUGUUAAAUGUACAUGUAUAUCUAACGCAUUUCUUCCUUUUAAAGAUUCAUUUUAGAAAAUCAGUUCCAAAAACUGAUGAAAGUGGUAACCGUCAGUUAACGAAGUAAAAUUCCAACCAAUUAAUAAAGUAUUGCUGAUAGUAGAUAGUUAAUAGAAUAGUGUUCUCAGUAGGAAUAAUAAACCGAAAUCCUUAUGAUCAGCGCUUUCUACUUUUUUACAACCGAAGCAAUUACAUAAUUUGAAUGUCGAAUAGAAUGAUCGAUGGUAGAAAGUUGAAUAAUAAGACCUGCUUCAUUUUUCAGAUACAACACGUAAUUUGAAAUGAACCGGAAGAUUGAGUACUAUACAUAUAUGCCAUCUACAAUACCGUAAUCAAUAGAUCAAACCAGAUAUUAAGGAUCUUUCUACAUUUAGAAUUCGAUAGAAAGACUACCGAUAAUUUUCUCAAGCCUAGAUAUACCCUUUUUCCAGCAGUCCUUCUAUCCGAUACGACGCGUGCAUUUAAAGUUCACGUAUUCCCCGCGACUAAGAAGAAAAAAAGGUACGUGUACGUGCGACUGCAGCGUAGAGGCAAGACGUGGAAGGUAAUGGCCGAGGUUCGUGUUCCCUUCGUUGCGAGUCGGUGAAAGUCGCUUCGAAUCAGACUAGCGGGCUAUCCCCACCGGGACGUAUCAUCGUCGUUAAUGUCGUUUUCCCAUAGAACCCUCUUACCACUUCUACCCAUCCCUCCUAACUAUAUCGUCAUAUUUCAUAUUGUCAACUGACGACGUCAUCGUCCUUGCAUUGACCGCGAAAAUUUCAUGCAUGCCUUUUUCUGGUCCGUGGAUCGUGUGACGCACAGCCGGGCCACAGCAUCCGGACAACUCGCUUCGUCAGUAAUACUAUCGAAUUACCACAUUCGUCGUUGUUAUUUUUCUACGCAGCACGACACGAUGCGCUGCACAGUUUCAGAUUUCACGAACUUGCUUUCUCUAUACGUUGGGGUGCGAUUUGUUUCUCCUCAGUUUGUUUGUUUGUUUGUUACAGCGGACAGGUCAAAGUUUCAAAGAAAGGGACAUGGUGUGUUUCCAAUGAUACCCUACGAUUCUCUUUUUUGCAGUUGUCUGCCGUUUCGAGCCUUUGUCAGGAGAUCAGAAUCUUUGGUCGGGUUACAUGUUUCCUGGCUAGACAGGAUUAACUUCUUUUUGAAGUGUUUAUUGCAAAAUGAUAUAUUAUUAUGCCAUUCAGUAAUUUGUGUCAUAAACUGAUAAUUGUACUCUUCGCGUAAUAGGUAAUUCUCUUAUAAAUACUGAGAUCACUUCCUUAGGUAUGAUAUAAAAUAUGAUACUGUUUUAUUUUAUUGCAUGGUUAUCUACAACAAAGAUUACACGACUGUAUUUAAACUCAAUCGUGAAAAUACUUUUAAAUAACUCUAAUUGGCUAAUUAAUUUCAGAAUCUUAACAAGCUGCUAUCAGUCUACCAACUGUUACACCAUUCUAAUGAUACACCAAUUUAACUUCGCAAUAAACUAAUAUCUCCACUAUAACUAAUCCAAGAAGGCUAUCACUAUAUGAUAAUUGUGCAACGAAAGGAAAUACUCACCACGAGGCAUUCCACAUGGACCAGGUGUCCUGGCAUUGUCCAGAAAAUCCAAGUCAUAUUUCCUCGCCUGUGGAAAAGUCAAG